AACGAACGCUGGCGGCAUGCCUAACACAUGCAAGUCGAACGAGACCUUCGGGUCUAGUGGCGCACGGGUGCGUAACGCGUGGGAACCUGCCUUUAGGUUCGGCAUAACUCCCCGAAAGGGGUGCUAAUACCGGAUAAUGUCUUCGGACCAAAGAUUUGUCGCCUUUGGAGGGGCCCGCGUGGGAUUAGCUAGUUGGUAGGGUAAAAGCCUACCAAGGCGACGAUCCAUAGCUGGUCUGAGAGGAUGAUCAGCCACACUGGGACUGAGACACGGCCCAGACUCCUACGGGAGGCAGCAGUGGGGAAUAUUGGACAAUGGGCGAAAGCCUGAUCCAGCAAUGCCGCGUGAGUGAUGAAGGCCUUAGGGUUGUAAAGCUCGUUUACCCGGGAUGAUAAUGACAGUACCGGGAGAAUAAGCUCCGGCUAACUCCGUG
rnacentral:rRNA from 1 species